GCUGACGUAGCUCAACGGUAGAGCGUCACCAUAGUCUCCGUUUCGACGUGAAGAUAGCAGUUCAAGUCUGUUCGUUAGCA
rnacentral:tRNA from 3 species